CCCAGACUCCUACGGGAGGCAGCAGUGGGGAAUAUUGGGCAAUGGGCGCAAGCCUGACCCAGCAACGCCGCGUGAAGGAAGAAGGCUUUCGGGUUGUAAACUUCUUUUAAGAGGGAAGAGUAGAAGACGGUACCUCUUGAAUAAGCCACGGCUAACUACGUGCCAGCAGCCGCGGUAAUACGUAGGGGGCAAGCGUUGUUCGGAAUGACUGGGCGUAAAGGGUGUGUAGGUGGUUUGAUAAGUUAGAUGUGUAAUACCCAGGGCUUAACUCGGGUGCUGCAUCUAAAACUGUUAGACUUGAGUACUGGAGAGGAUAGUGGAAUUCCUAGUGUAGCGGUGGAAUGCGUAGAUAUUAGGAGGAACAUCAGUGGCGAAGGCGACUAUCUGGACAGCAACUGACACUGAGGCACGAAAGCGUGGGGAGCAAACAGGAUUAGAUACCCGAGUAAA
rnacentral:rRNA from 1 species